GUCUUCAAUCGUCGCCCGCAUUCAAUUCAAUCCAAUCGAUAUCUCAACUGCUGCACUUGAAACCCUUUUCCGUAGCAACAAUAGAUAAAACUUCAUGAUUGACUCUCUUCCUCUUCCAUAUCUCUGGCUUCACAGUUCUAACCCUAAUACCCAAAUCCAGUUUCCUCUCAUCUAUACGACAUCCUCUAUCUCCAAACACCACCUCCACUUCGCCGGCCACCCACCCUCAUCAAGCACCGGCCGUCGCCACCACUCACACGAUCCAUCUCCGUCGCCGGUCACCCACCACCGUACUCCUCCACCCUGAACCCCAAUCGCCGUCGGACACCUCUUCUGCCGCAUACCAGAGUCUUAAUUGAAGGCUGUAGCCGAUUCAUCUCAUCUUAUGAAACAAAGGUGGUUAUGAACGCUGAACAGGUAAUUUGUCUAACGGAGGAACCAGUCCCAGCUAUUUCCCUCCAGACGUUACAUUUUAUAUUCAUGGAAGACCAAUUGAAGCUCAUAGAGUAAUCUUGAGUGCCAGGUCACCCUACUUCCAGAAAAAGUUCGAAACCGAUUGGAGGGAUCGUAAAGAAAUAAGAUUCUUGAGAGAAAAGUUAUCUUAUCCUGCAUUUUACAGCCUUGUUCACUUCUUUUACUCCGAUAGACUCGAGAAGAUCUUAGCAUGGAAGCUUUUGAGAAGAUGAUACAGUACAUGUACACUGACGGUUUGAAGGAUAUCAACCCUGAACAGGCUGAAGAAAUGUUUGAUGCUGCUUCAAGAUACUUAUUAUUUCCUCUUAAACGGGCGGUUGCUGAUGCUCUACUUCCUCAUCUACAAAUGGUCCCUCCUUCACAAUUAUGCCACUGGUUGAUAUUAUCCGACAUGUAACUGGUGAGUUUGGUGAGGGGAAGGCAUCUCAUGUUCUAUAUAGACAUUCCAAGCUUACCCCCUUACUACAUUGAGUAGCCAUGGACAUGUUUCACUCAUCUGCCCUAUAACUGGUCUUCGAAUGAUAUCAGCAAAAGCCAUUGACUUCACAACGUUUUCCCUAAAUUUGCCUAUGUGCGAGCUUUCUUUGAUGUUCAUGAGCAAGAAAGAAGCUAUCCAGGAUGGAUUCCUUUGGAGAUUACAUAACAGAAUAUGACGGAAUGUGUUGGUGGAUCGCACCCUAUGACUUUUGAUGAUGUAAGCUAGCGUUACCACACACACUGUGACCCCAAGGCUCAACACUUCUCAGUCCCUUGAGUUGUCUUUCAUCAUCGUAGAAUGGUUGAGGAAGAGAAGAAUGGGGUCUCCAAACUCGCCCUUUAAAAUUUUAGAUCUAUCAACUGCUCGAUAGAGUUGUAUUUUGUUUUUGUUUUUUGUUUUUUGUUUUUUUUUUUUUGGUGAAAGGUUGUUUGUGGGAUCUUGAGCUGAUGUCAAGUUAGACAAAGCAUUGCUACAUGAUAAUGAGUCAUAGUUAUGCUAUGUAGAUUAGGCAUGUUAGGAUUGGGUCAUGAUCUAGAUCUGAUCCAUACAGGAUUGACGGAUCCAAUUGGUAUAA